CUGGCGGCGUGCUUAACACAUGCAAGUCGAACGGAAAGGCCCUGCUUUUGUGGGGUGCUCGAGUGGCGAACGGGUGAGUAACACGUGAGUAACCUGCCCUUGACUUUGGGAUAACUUCAGGAAACUGGGGCUAAUACCGGAUAGGAGCUCCUGCUGCAUGGUGGGGGUUGGAAAGUUUCGGCGGUUGGGGAUGGACUCGCGGCUUAUCAGCUUGUUGGUGGGGUAGUGGCUUACCAAGGCUUUGACGGGUAGCCGGCCUGAGAGGGUGACCGGCCACAUUGGGACUGAGAUACGGCCCAGACUCCUACGGGAGGCAGCAGUGGGGAAUAUUGCACAAUGGGCGGAAGCCUGAUGCAGCAACGCCGCGUGCGGGAUGACGGCCUUCGGGUUGUAAACCGCUUUCGCCUGUGACGAAGCGUGAGUGACGGUAAUGGGUAAAGAAGCACCGGCUAACUACGUG
rnacentral:rRNA from 1 species